AGACGCGAAACCAAGUGAUCUACCCUUGGCCAGGUUGAAGGCUGGGUAACACCAGCUGGAGGACCGCACCAAUAAGCGUUGAAAAGCUUCUGGAUGAGCUGAGGGUAGGGGUGAAAGGCUAAUCAAACUUGGAGAUAGCUCGUACUCCCCGAAAUGCAUUUAGGUGCAGCCUUGCGGGUUACUGAUGUGAGGUAGAGCGACUGAUAAGAUGCGAGGGCUUCACCGCCUAUCAAGUCUUGACAAACUCCGAAUGCGCAUCAGUUCUACCGCAGGAGUGAGGGCAUGGGUGCUAAGGUCCGUGCCCGAGAGGAGAAGAAUCCGGACCACCUGCUAAGGUCCCGAAAUGACAGCUAAGUUAAACUAACGAAGUCUGACUGCUAAGACAGCUAGGAUGUUGGCUUGGAAGCAGCCAUUCAUUUAAAGAGUGCGUAACAGCUCACUAGUCGAGGAGUCGGGCGUGGAUAAUAAUCGGGUAUCAAGUUGUCUACCGAAGCAGUGGGAUCAUUUAUAUGAUCGGUAGGGGAGCAUUCCAGUCAGCGUCGAAGGCGUACCGUGAGGUAUUCUGGAGCGUCUGGAAAAGCAAAUGUAGGUAUAAGUAACGAUAAAGGGGGCGGGAAACCCCCUCGCCGAAAGACUAAGGUUUCCUGAUCAACGCUAAUCGGAUCAGGGUCAGUCGGGUCCUAAGGCUCAGCCGAACGGCGAUGCCGAUGGCAGAAACGGUUAAUAUUCCGUUACUACCUUCAGGAGUGACGUGGAGACGCAGUAGUGACAGUGCCGCCAUCUGACGGAAUAGAUGGUUGAAGGGUGUAGGAGUCGAUCAUGGCAGGCAAAUCCACCAUGAGAUCCGAACCUGAGAGUAUGCCGCGUCCUUCGGGACAAGGCAAUAGUGCGCGUAAGCAUGCUGCCGAGAAAAUCCGCUAAACUUAAUCCUGGAGGUACCCGUACCGCAAACGGACACACGUAGUCGGGAUGAAUAUUCUAAGGCGCUUGAGUGAUUCACGGUUAAGGAACUAGGCAAACUGACCCUGUAACUUCGGGAUAAAGGGUCCCUACCCUUUUAUGGGAGGGCGCAGAGAAUCGGUCCAGGCAACUGUUUAACAAAAACACAGGGCUGUGCCAAAUCGAAAGAUCCAGUAUACAGCCUGACACCUGCCCGGUGCUGGAAGGUUAAGAGGAGAUGUCAUCGAUAAGAGAAGCGUUGAAUUGAAGCCCCAGUAAACGGCGGCCGUAACUAUAACGGUCCUAAGGUAGCGAAAUUCCUUGUCGGGUAAGUUCCGACCUGCACGAAUGGUGUAAUGAUCUGGACGCUGUCUCAACCGUGAGCUCAGUGAAAUUGUAGUAUCGGUGAAGAUGCCGAUUACCCGCGAUGGGACGAAAAGACCCCGUGAACCUUUACUAUAGCUUAUCAUUGAAUCUGGGCACGUGAUGUGUAGGAUAGGUCGGAGGCUUUGAAGCAGGUACGCCAGUAUUUGUGGAGCCGCUGUUGAAAUACGACCCUUUAUUUGUUUGGAUUCUAACCCGUGGAACGGGGACAUUGAUUGGUGGGUAGUUUGACUGGGGUGGUCGCCUCCAAAAGCGUAACGGAGGCUUCUAAAGGUGCCCUCCGGCCGAUUGGUAACCGGCCUUAGAGUGUAAUGGCAUAAGGGCGCUUGACUGGGAGACUGACAAGUCGAUCAGGUAGGAAACUAGAGCAUAGUGAUCCGGUGUUUCCGUAUGGAAGGGACAUCGCUCAAAGGAUAAAAGGUACUCCGGGGAUAACAGGCUGAUCCCUCCCAAGAGCUCAUAUCGACGGAGUGGUUUGGCACCUCGAUGUCGGCUCGUCACAUCCUGGGGCUGGAGAAGGUCCCAAGGGUUGGGCUGUUCGCCCAUUAAAGUGGCACGCGAGCUGGGUUCAGAACGUCGUGAGACAGUUCGGUCUCUAUCUAUCGUGGGCGCAUGAAAUUUGCGUGGCUCUGACACUAGUACGAGAGGACCGUGUUGGACAGACCUCUGGUUUGCCGGUUGUGCCGCCAGGUGCAUUGCCGGGUAUCUAAGUCUGGAUCGGAUAAGUGCUGAAAGCAUCUAAGUACGAAGCCGGCCACAAGAUUAGAUUUCUCAGGGUCGUUGUAGACUAC
rnacentral:rRNA from 1 species